rnacentral:lncRNA from 1 species
UUGGGACCAAUGGAGGGGUCACGGUGGUGGGCCUUGUCUCCAGUCUACUUGGCAGUACCUUUGUGGGCAUCACCUACUUCCUCACACAGUUGGUCUUUGUUAAUGAUUUAGGCAUUUCUGCUCCCCAGUGGCCAAUUAUUGCAUUUGGGGGUUGGCUGGAUUACUAGGAUCAGUUGUGGACUCAUAUUUAGGAGANAGCUACAAUGCAAUUUACUGGUUUAGACGAAAGCACAGGCAUGGUGGUCAACAGCCCAGCGAAUGAGGUUGAAAACUGUGGCAAAGUCAGCUAAAUUUGCAAUUCCAAGUUUCAUCCUAAGAAGAAUAAUUGUAAUGGCAAAGAGAAAAUACCAGCGCUUCCCAUAUUCCAUUGUGAUGAAAUUCCACAUUUUUCAUCUCAUUAACUCCCCUGUAACAGCUGACCUCUUUGUAGUGAAAGAGAUGUGUGNAUAGACCUUAUUCAUAUUUUUCUUCUGAAUAGAGCUUCUUAAGCAAUGAAACUAUAAUGUCCCUAUAUAUUGCUGAGCUGAAAGUUCCUACGUGGUAAAUACAAAUUUUGUUUUGUUUAAACCAGUGUAGGGACUAAAAAUAUAAUGCCACUAGU